GCCGCUUUAGCUCAGCUGGUAGAGCACAUCAUUCGUAAUGAUGGGGCCACAGGUUCGAAUCCUGUAAGCGGCACCA
rnacentral:tRNA from 1 species